rnacentral:lncRNA from 1 species
CAAAAUUAGCAGGACUGUUGGGUUAGACUAUGGAGCCCAUAGGCUUUCAGCAAGGUGAGUGUCUCGCUUUGGAAUCGCCUGACUGCCUGGGAAAUCAGAUUGGCCAGGAAAAUGGAGUAGAGUACUUGAGAAGAGAACACACCUUAGAUCUUAAGAUGGCCUCUUCCUGAACAGCUGCUGGAGUGGGUGAAGAAGGGGAAGGCCACCUACUUAAAGCCUCUCUCUGUGCCCUCCCCCUGUCAUCUCUAGAGUGGACCUGGUUGUUCACUCCCUGAAGGAUGUGCCUACCAUACUACCUCCUGGCUUUACCAUUGGAGCCAUCUGCAAACGGGAAAACCCUUGUGAUGCUGUUGUUUUUCACCCAAAGUUUAUUGGAAAGACCCUGGAAACCUUGCCAGAGAAAAGUGCCGUGGGGACCAGCUCCCUGAGGAGAGUGGCGCAGCUACAGAGAAAGUUCCCUCACCUGGAAUUCAAGAGUAUUCGGGGAAACCUCAACACCCGCCUACGGAAGCUGGAUGAGCUGCAGGAGUUCAGUGCCAUUAUCCUGGCUGUGGCUGGCCUACAGCG